GCUGUACUUCGAAAACGUGAUGAGUCACAAAAUUAAAAUUUUACAGUAUGCAAUGCAAACUCAAAGAUGUUUUGAAAAGUUGAUCGUAAUGUAGAUACAUUUCAAGCCUGCUGACAGAGAAAACAUUAUUAAUGACAAGGCUGGGUAUUCCAGAUAUUGAUUUUAAUUUUUUCAACUGAUGAAUGAACUUUCUAGACAUGCUGGGAGUAACGCAAAAAAAUAUAUGGAAAAUUUAUUAAAGAUGUAUAUUUCAAUAUACCUGUUGAGUAUCAAAUCACAUUUUUAUAGACUAGUCUAGAUCAUUUUGUCUACUAACUCUAACCUCUCAGUUGUGUUCAUGCCUGGUUUUUCAGAUCUUAAUUAAGAUAUCUAUUUUUUUUGUUUAUUGCAUAAUUUUUCCAUGAUUUAAUUAAUUUUUAUUCAUUUGUGAUUUGAGUAUUUCAUUAAUUUAGUUUUGUGAUUUUUUUCAUUAAUUUACAUUUGUGA